rnacentral:rRNA from 1 species
AAUGAACGCUGGCGGCAGGCCUAACACAUGCAAGUCGAACGGGUCCUUCGGGACUAGUGGCGGACGGGUGAGUAACGCGUGGGAACGUGCCCCUUGGUACGGAGUAGCCCCGGGAAACUGGGAGUAAUACCGUAUGUGGUCGAGAGACGAAAGAUUUAUCGCCAAGGGAUCGGCCCGCGUUGGAUUAGGUAGUUGGUGGGGUAAUGGCCUACCAAGCCGACGAUCCAUAGCUGGUUUGAGAGGAUGAUCAGCCACACUGGGACUGAGACACGGCCCAGACUCCUACGGGAGGCAGCAGUGGGGAAUCUUAGACAGUGGGGGAAACCCUGAUCUAGCCAUGCCGCGUGAUCGAUGAAGGCCUUAGGGUUGUAAAGAUCUUUCAGGUGGGAAGAUAAUGACUGUACCACCAGAAGAAGCCCCGGCUAACUCCGUGCCAGCCGCCGCAGUAAGAC